rnacentral:rRNA from 1 species
CAAUAGCGUAUAUUUAAGUUGCUGCAGUUAAAAAGCUCGUAGUUGGAUUUCGGGUGGGAAUGGCCGGUGCGCCGUUUCGGUGUGCACUUGCUACGCCCACCUUGCUGCCGGGGACGUGCUCUUGAGUUCACGCUCGGGACACGGAGUCGGCGAGGUUACUUUGAGUAAAUUAGAGUGUUCAAAGCAGGCCUACGCUCUGAAUACAUUAGCAUGGAAUAACACGAUAGGACUCUGGCCUAUCUUGUUGGUCUGUAGGACCGGAGUAAUGAUUAAGAGGGACAGUCGGGGGCAUUCGUAUUUCAUUGUCAGAGGUGAAAUUCUUGGAUUUAUGAAAGACGAACUACUGCGAAAGCAUUUGCCAAGGAUGUUUUCAUUAA